GAACGCUGGCGGCGUGCCUAAUACAUGCAAGUCGAGCGAACAGAUGAGGAGCUUGCUCCUCUGACGUUAGCGGCGGACGGGUGAGUAACACGUGGAUAACCUACCUAUAAGACUGGGAUAACUUCGGGAAACCGGAGCUAAUACCGGAUAAUAUAUUGAACCGCAUGGUUCAAUAGUGAAAGACGGUUUUGCUGUCACUUAUAGAUGGAUCCGCGCCGCAUUAGCUAGUUGGUAAGGUAACGGCUUACCAAGGCAACGAUGCGUAGCCGACCUGAGAGGGUGAUCGGCCACACUGGAACUGGGACACGGUCCAGACUCCUACGGGAGGCAGCAGUAGGGAAUCUUCCGCAAUGGGCGAAAGCCUGACGGAGCAACGCCGCGUGAGUGAUGAAGGUCUUCGGAUCGUAAAACUCUGUUAUUAGGGAAGAACAAAUGUGUAAGUAACUAUGCACGUCUUGACGGUACCUAAUCAGAAAGCCACGGCUAACUACGUG
rnacentral:rRNA from 1 species